CGAGGGGCGAUCGCGGUGUAGCAAUACACUGGCGGCGACCGGCGAAAGGGUGAGUAACGCGUGAGCAACAUACCCGGCACUGGGGGAUAGUCAUUGGAAACGAUGCGUAAUACCCCGUAAUACAAGGAGCGGCAUCGCUUCAUGUUAAGAGAUUUAUCGAUACCGGAUUGGCUCGCGUACCAUUAGCUAGUUGGCGGGGUAACGGCCCACCAAGGCGACGAUGGUUAGGGGUUCUGAGAGGAAGGUCCCCCACAUUGGAACUGAGACACGGUCCAGACUCCUACGGGAGGCAGCAGUGAGGAAUAUUGGUCAAUGGCCGAGAGGCUGAACCAGCCAUGCCGCGUGCGGGAGGAACCGGCCCUAUGGGUUGUAAACCGCUUUUGUCGGGGAGCAAUAAGUCUUACGAGUAAGAUGAUGAGAGUACCUGGCGAAUAAGCAUCGGCUAACUCCGUGCCAGCAGCAGC
rnacentral:rRNA from 1 species